UCUCCUUUAAAGUCCCUAUACUUAACCAUUUUCAACCAACUAAGUAUUAAAACAAGACCACAUUAAAAACAAAAAAAAUCCCCUUAAAAGUGGCUAAACUUAACCAUAUUAAAGUGACUAAGUCAUCUACCAAAGCACAUUCAAAACAAAGAAAUCUUCUUUAAAGUCCCUACACUUAACCAUUUCAACCAACUAAGUAUCAAAGCAAAACCACAUUAAAAACAAAAAAAAUCCCUUUU
rnacentral:lncRNA from 1 species